GUGGGGAAUAUUGGACAAUGGGGGGAACCCUGAUCCAGCCAUGCCGCGUGUGUGAAGAAGGCCUUUUGGUUGUAAAGCACUUUAAGCGAGGAGGAGGCUACCGAGAUUAAUACUCUUGGAUAGUGGACGUUACCCACAGAAUAAGCACCGGCUAACUCUGUGCCAGCAGCCGCGGUAAUACAGAGGGUGCGAGCGUUAAUCGGAUUUACUGGGCGUAAAGCGCGCGUAGGUGGUUAAUUAAGUCAAAUGUGAAAUCCCCGAGCUUAACUUGGGAAUUGCAUUCGAUACUGGUUAGCUAGAGUAUGGGAGAGGAUGGUAGAAUUCCAGGUGUAGCGGUGAAAUGCGUAGAGAUCUGGAGGAAUACCGAUGGCGAAGGCAGCCAUCUGGCCUAAUACUGACACUGAGGUGCGAAAGCAUGGGGAGCAAACAGGAUUAGAAACCCCAGUAGUCC
rnacentral:rRNA from 1 species